rnacentral:rRNA from 1 species
GAUGAACGCUGGCGGCGUGCUUAACACAUGCAAGUCGAACGAAGACGUCUGAGUGCUUGCACUUGGAUGGACUGAGUGGCGGACGGGUGAGUAACGCGUGGGUAACCUGCCUUAUACAGGGGGAUAACAGUUGGAAACGACUGCUAAUACCGCAUAAGCGCACGGCAUCGCAUGAUGCAGUGUUAAAAACUCCGGUGGUAUAGGAGGGACCCGCGUCUGAUUGGCUGGUUGGUGAGGUAACGGCCCACCAAGGGGACGAGAAGUAGCCGGCCUGAGAGGGUGAACGGCCACAUUGGGACUGAGACACGGCCCAAACUCCUACGGGAGGCAGCAGUGGGGAAUAUUGCACAAUGGGGGAAACCCUGAUGCAGCGACGCCGCGUGAGUGAUGAAGUAUUUCGGUAUGUAAAACUCUAUCAGCAGGGAAGAUAAUGACGGUACCUGACUAAGAAGCACCGGCUAAAUACGUGCCAGCCGCCGCCGUAAAAC